AAUCCAUGCAUCAGGCAUUUCCUAAUUAACUCCUUAAAUCAUUCCCACCCUUCAUAUAGCGUUUCAUCUUCAAAUUGACGAAAGGAUGUAAUAUCAUUUCUCAACUU
rfam:Gossypium raimondii Chr11_contig_438, whole genome shotgun sequence.